rnacentral:lncRNA from 1 species
AUAUUUUCCAAUUAGGCUGAUAAUAUUCACAAUAUAAUCGACUGAAUUUUGCAUAUAUAAGUCCUGCUACUGGAAUCUUGUCAAAGGCUUCACUAACUUUAUCACAACAGUUCCAGCAAGAUUCAAUGGGCCAUUGCUAAAACACAGAGAGGAGCUGUGUCAUACAGGAAUCAAUGUAUUUCAUUUAUCAUCUGCCAGUACUGAAGUCUGCUCCAACACACCAACCUGUGCUGUACUGGGAUAAGAAUUACUGGGGCUGUUUUUUUUUCUCUUCAAACUGCAUUGUGUUUAGGAUUCCACAUGUUUAUCUCUACUCAUCUGUGUAUAUGAUUAGUCUAGGAACAAUGACAUUUAAGAGGUGGUAAGCUGGUUCCUGGAUCUCACUUGGAAAAAAACAGAACAAAAGAAAAAGUUCAUGUUGUGCAGUACAUAGCAACACUGAGGCUGAUCACUCAUAUCAGUAAUAGGAUGGACUCAAUUGCAUAUCUCGUUUGCAUUUUUGUAGACCUCAAUAAUGUUUUUUCAUGUUGAUCAUAAAUGCAUCAGAACGAUCAGAACUGCCAUGUGAAAUGAGUUAAUGCAAGAGUAGGUUUCAAAUAUUGCAUGAGAAAAAUCCCCCCCUGCACGCUUCUGAAGAAGCAGAAUGCAGAGGUGGGGCAAGAAAUAGGACAGGUAUCCAUUUCCCUGCAGAAGGAGAAUUUGCUCAUUUUAUGAUUAAGUAUUUCUUCAAGCUGCUGCUCUCUGAAGUGCAGGGUCCUCUGCAGGAUGCCCAGAAACCAAACAGAGAGGCUACAAAUGGUGGGCAGAUAUUGCAGAGGGCUGGCAGGCAGCUCCAGCUGCCCUGUUCUGAAUCCUGCUCUCUCCAGGGCACCUGGGCUGCGCUUCCACCCUGGGACAGCCUCCUGCUUCCACCCCUUACUGAAGCAACUAGUGGAAAGGACUUUCUGCCUCCCUCCAUCUGGUGUCUUUCUGCAGGUUUUUCCAUAAGAAGAAAUGAUCUACCACAGAUUCAGCCCAGUUUCUGGGAUCGGUCCUGUGAUGCCUGUAGCUGUGGCCAGUGGAAUAAGCCCACAGGCUCAGUGAAAGCACCCAAAGGUUAGUAGUGCAAGGAAAAUGUUUAUUUCUAGUAAUUUCAAGGAGUUCUACAGGUCUGUGCUCCAGAAGGAGUAGAACUUUGCACAACUGUGUGUUUGGAAGAAGGGAGUAACUGGCAGCCAGGAAACAAGUGAAACAAUUAGAAACAACUCACUGUCAUUUCUGUGUACAUUUGGUAGCAUUUCAAUAAUCCAACAGAAGCAGUAAAUAACAUAGCUGGGUCCUCAAUUUUUAUAGGCUUUCUAAAUAAUUUUAUACCAUUAUUG